rnacentral:rRNA from 1 species
GAGACAGCAGUAGCCGCGGUAAUACGGAGGGUGCAAGCGUUAAUCGGAAUUACUGGGCGUAAAGCGCACGCAGGCGGUAUGUCAAGUCAGAUGUGAAAUCCCCGGGCUUAACCUGGGAACUGCAUUUGAAACUGGCAGGCUAGAGUCUUGUAGAGGGGGGUAGAAUUCCAGGUGUAGCGGUGAAAUGCGUAGAGAUCUGGAGGAAUACCGGUGGCGAAGGCGGCCCCCUGGACAAAGACUGACGCUCAGGUGCGAAAGCGUGGGGAGCAAACAGGAUUAGAUACCCGAGUAGUCCCUGUCUCUUAUAC